GACGAACGCUGGCGGCAUGCCUAAUACAUGCAAGUUGAACGAUGAUAUUCUCUGCUUGCAGAGAAUUGAAGAGUAGCGAACGGGUGAGUAACACGUGGGGAACCUGCCCAUGAGAGGGGGAUAACAUUCGGAAACGGAUGCUAAUACCGCAUAAUGCUUUGGACCGCCUGGUGCAGAGACGAAAGACGGCUUUUGCUGUCACUCAUGGAUGGCCCCGCGCCGUAUUAGCUAGUUGGUGAGGUAAUGGCUCACCAAAGCUGUGAUACGUAGCCGACCUGAGAGGGUGAUCGGCCACACUGGGACUGAGACACGGCCCAGACUCCUACGGGAGGCAGCAGUAGGGAAUCUUCCACAAUGGGCGAAAGCCUGAUGGAGCAAUGCCGCGUGAAUGAAGAAGGUCUUCGGAUCGUAAAGUUCUGUUAUUAGAGAAGAACAAGUCAAGGAGUAACUGUCUUGACUUUGACGGUACCUAACCAGAAAGUCACGGCUAACUACGUG
rnacentral:rRNA from 1 species